GACGAACGCUGGCGGCGUGCUUAACACAUGCAAGUCGAACGAAGUGGCGAACGGGUGAGUAACGCGUAAUAAACCUGCCCUUCAGAGGGGGACACCAGUUGGAAACGACUGCUAAUCCCGCAUACUGAAGGAGGGGAUUGCGUCUGAUUAGCUAGUUGGAGGGGUAACGGCCCACCAAGGAGAUGAUCAGUAGGCGGGCUGGGGAGGAGAACGGCCACAAUUGGACUGGAACACGGCCCAGACUCCUACGGGGGGGAGCAGGGGGGGAUCUUCCGCAAUGGGCGAAAGUCUGACGAAGGAACGGCGCGUGAGUGGUAGCGGCCUUCGGGUUGUAAAGCUCUGUUAAUCGGGGCGCGGUACCGGAAUAGAAAGCCACGGCUAACUACGUGCCAGCAGCCGCGGUAAUAC
rnacentral:rRNA from 1 species